UCUCCGCUUGCGCGGGCAGUCUCUUUAGAGUCCCCACCAUAACGUGCUGGCAACUAAAGAUAGAGGUUGCGCUCGUUGCGGGACUUAACCCAACACCUCACGGCACGAGCUGACGACAGCCAUGCAGCACCUUGCUCCUUGUCCUUGCGGAACGAUACAUCUCUGCACCAGUCAAGGGCAUUCUAGCCCAGGUAAGGUUCCUCGCGUAUCAUCGAAUUAAACCACAUGCUCCUCCGCUUGUGCGGGCCCCCGUCAAUUCCUUUGAGUUUCAACCUUGCGGUCGUACUUCCCAGGUGGAUUACUUCGCGCGUUAGCUGCGUUACUAAAGGAUUUAACUCCUCCAACAACUAGUCAUCAUCGUUUAGGGCGUGGACUAC
rnacentral:misc_RNA from 1 species